GUGCUGGCUUGGACAGCACAUACACUAAAACUGGAACGAUACAGAGAUUAGAAUGGCCCCUGUACAAGGAUGACUUGCAAAUUUGUGAAGCGUUCCAUAUUUAA